rnacentral:rRNA from 1 species
UACGUAGGUGGCAAGCGUUAUCCGGAAUUAUUGGGCGUAAAGCGCGCGCAGGCGGUUUCUUAAGUCUGAUGUGAAAGCCCACGGCUCAACCGUGGAGGGUCAUUGGAAACUGGGGGACUUGAGUGCAGGAGAGAAGAGUGGAAUUCCACGUGUAGCGGUGAAAUGCGUAGAGAUGUGGAGGAACACCAGUGGCGAAGGCGACUCUUUGGCCUGUAACUGACGCUGAGGCGCGAAAGCGUGGGGAGCAAACAGG